rnacentral:rRNA from 1 species
AUAAUAAAUAGUUUAUUAAAAAUAGACUAGUAUGAAAGAUUAAAUGAAAUAUUAACUUUAUAAAAUUAAAUAAAAGUAGAAUUUUUUAAUUAAUUAAAAAAAAUUAAUUAUUUUUAGGGGACGAUAAGACCCUUUAAAAUUUUAUAAUUAUAAUAUUAUAUAUUUUAAUAAUAAAAUUUAUAUAAUGUAGUAAUUAUUUUAAUGGGGCAUUAUUAAAAUUUAAAUAAAUUUUAAUAAAAUUUAUUUAACCUUUAUAAAAGAAUAAAAAUUUGAUCUUACAUAGAUUGAUUAUAAGAUAAAAUUACUUAAGGGAUAACAGCGUAAUAAAUUUAGAUAGAUCAUAUUGAUAAAUUUGAUUGC